rnacentral:rRNA from 1 species
UGGGGAAUAUUGCACAAUGGGCGAAAGCCUGAUGCAGCAACGCCGCGUGAGUGAUGAAGGCCUUCGGGUUGUAAAGCUCUGUCUUUUGGGACGAUAAUGACGGUACCAAAGGAGGAAGCCACGGCUAGCUACGUGCCAGCAGCCGCGGUAAUACGUAGGUGGCAAGCGUUGUCCGGAUUUACUGGGCGUAAAGGAUGCGUAGGCGGAUUUUUAAGUGAGGUGUGAAAACCCUAAGCUUAACUUGGGGACUGCAUUUCAUACUGGAAAUCUAGAGUGCGGGAGAGGAGAAUGGAAUUCCUAGUGUAGCGGUGAAAUGCGUAGAGAUUAGGAAGAACACCAGUGGCGAAGGCGAUUCUCUGGACCGUAACUGACGCUGAGGCAUGAAAGCGUGGGUAGCAAACAGGAUUAGAUACCCUGGUAGUCCACGCCGUAAACGAUGAGUACUAGGUGUAGGAGGUAUCGACCCCUUCUGUGCCGCAGUUAACACAAUAAGUACUCCGCCUGGGAAGUACGAUCGCAAGAUUAAAACUCAAAUGAAUUGACGGGGUCAUAGCUGUUUCCU